rnacentral:lncRNA from 1 species
UACGGAAGUGAGGCUGCUUCCUAUGAAAUCUUGGGCAAGUUUCUAGAGCGUUCACUAUACUGGGAUACAAGCACAUGGCCGUAAUGUGCUGGCUUUUUAAACUUCACCUUAAUAAAGUUAUGUGUGUGGUGUUGUCAGAGAUAGAGUUCAAAACUAUAAGGUACUCUAAUAUAAUCUGGAUCACUAACACUAUGUACAGGUUCAAGUUGAGAAACACAUUUACUUAUGCAUAGCUUUAUGAUAUGUUGCUUGAUAUAUGGCUUUAAACAAAAACAAGUGGGGGAUUGUUAGAGCAGUUAUGUUUUUAUUUAAAUAUUUUAAAUAUAUUUAUGAUUUGUUUUAUUACAAACAUUGAAUAUAAAACGUAAAUUGUUAUUAA